rnacentral:rRNA from 1 species
AGCGAACGCUGGCGGCAGGCCUAACACAUGCAAGUCGAACGAACUCUUCGGAGUUAGUGGCGGACGGGUGAGUAACACGUGGGAACGUGCCUUUAGGUUCGGAAUAACUCAGGGAAACUUGUGCUAAUACCGAAUGUGCCCUUCGGGGGAAAGAUUUAUCGCCUUUAGAGCGGCCCGCGUCUGAUUAGCUAGUUGGUUGAGGUAAUGGCUCACCAAGGCGACGAUCAGUAGCUGGUCUGAGAGGAUGGCCAGCCACAUUGGGACUGAGACACGGCCCAAACUCCUACGGGAGGAAGCAGUGGGGAAUCUUGCGCAAUGGGCGAAAGACUGACGCAGCCAUGCCGCGUGAAUGAUGAAGGUCUUAGGAAUGUAAAAUUCUUUCACCGGGGACGAUAAUGACGGUACCCGGAGAAGAAGCCCCGGCUAACUUCGUGCCAGCCGCCGCCGUAAGAC